GUGCUCACUUCGGCAGCACAUAUACUAAAAUUGGAACCAUACGGAGAAGAUUAGCAUAGUCCCUGCACAAGGAUGACACGCAAAUUUGUGAAGCAUUACAUAUUUUA
ensembl:snRNA U6 U6 spliceosomal RNA